rnacentral:rRNA from 1 species
GACGAACGCUGGCGGCGUGCUUAACACAUGCAAGUCGAACGGAAAGGCCCUGCUUUUGUGGGUUGCUCGAGUGGCGAACGGGUGAGUAACACGUGAGUAACCUGCCCUUGACUUUGGGAUAACUUCAGGAAACUGGGGCUAAUACCGGAUAGGAGCUCCUGCUGCAUGGUGGGGGUUGGAAAGUUUCGGCGGUUGGGGAUGGACUCGCGGCUUAUCAGCUUGUUGGUGGGGUAGUGGCUUACCAAGGCUUUGACGGGUAGCCGGCCUGAGAGCGUGACCGGCCACAAGGGGACUGAGAUACGGCCCAGACGGCUACGGGAGGCAGCAGUGGGGAAUAUGGCACAAUGGGCGGAAGCCUGAUGCAACAACGCCGCGUGCGUGAUGACGGCUUUCGGGUUGUAAACCGCUUUCGCCGGUGACGAAGCGGGAGUGACGGUAAUGAGUAAAGAAGCACCGGCUAACUACGUG